UACGUAGGGGGCAAGCGUUGUCCGGAAUCAUUGGGCGUAAAGCGCGUGUAGGCGGCUCGGUAAGUCCGCUCUGAAAGUCCAGGGCUCAACCCUGGGAUGCGGGUGGAUACUGCCGGGCUCGAGUCCGGAAGAGGCGAGUGGAAUUCCCGGUGUAGCGGUGAAAUGCGCAGAUAUCGGGAGGAACACCAAUGGCGAAGGCGACUACCUGGCCUGUUCUUGACGCUGAGGCGCGAAAGCUAGGGGAGCAAACGGG
rnacentral:rRNA from 1 species